CCUACGGGCGGCAGCAGUGGGGAAUAUUGGACAAUGGGGGGAACCCUGAUCCAGCCAUGCCGCGUGUGUGAAGGAGGCCCUCGGGUUGUAAAGCACUUUCAGUGAGGAAGAACGCCUGGUGGUUAAUACCCAUCAGGAAAGACAUCACUCACAGAAGAAGCACCGGCUAACUCCGUGCCAGCAGCCGCGGUAAUACGGAGGGUGCGAGCGUUAAUCGGAAUUACUGGGCGUAAAGCGCGCGUAGGUGGCUUGAUAAGCCGGUUGUGAAAGCCCCGGGCUCAACCUGGGAACGGCAUCCGGAACUGUCAAGCUAGAGUGCAGGAGAGGAAGGUAGAAUUCCCGGUGUAGCGGUGAAAUGCGUAGAGAUCGGGAGGAAUACCAGUGGCGAAGGCGGCCUUCUGGACUGACACUGACACUGAGGUGCGAAAGCGUGGGUAGCAAACAGGAUUAGAUACCCGUGUAGUC
rnacentral:rRNA from 1 species